GUGGGCGUAGUUCAGUGGUAGAACGUCUGACUGUGGCUCAGAAGGUCGCGGGUUCAAUUCCCGUCGCCCACCCCA
rnacentral:tRNA from 1 species